rnacentral:rRNA from 1 species
AUUGAACGCUGGCGGCAGGCCUAACACAUGCAAGUCGAACGAGUGGCGGACGGGUGAGUAAUGUCUGGGAAACUGCCUGAUGGAGGGGGAUAACUACUGGAAACGGUAGCUAAUACCGCAUACCAUCAGAUGUGCCCAGAUGGGAUUAGCUAGUUGGUGGGGUAACGGCUCACCAAGGCGAGGAUCCCUAGCUGGUCUGAGAGGAUGACCAGCCACACGGGAACUGAGACAUGGUCCAGACUCCUACGUGAGGCAGCAGUGGGGAAUAUUGCACAAUGGGCGCAAGCCUGAUGCAGGCAUGCGGCGUGUAUGAAGAAGGCCUUCGGGUGGUAAAGUACUUUCAGCGGGGAGGCGUUACCCGCAGAAGAAGCACCGGCUAACUCCGUGCCAGCAGCCGCGGUAAUUC